rnacentral:rRNA from 1 species
GACGAACGCUGGCGGCGUGCUUAACACAUGCAAGUCGAACGGAAAGGCCCUGCUUUUGUGGGGUGCUCGAGUGGCGAACGGGUGAGUAACACGUGAGUAACCUGCCCUUGACUUUGGGAUAACUUCAGGAAACUGGGGCUAAUACCGGAUAGGAGCUCCUGCUGCAUGGUGGGGGUUGGAAAGUUUCGGCGGUUGGGGAUGGACUCGCGGCUUAUCAGCUUGUUGGUGGGGUAGUGGCUUACCAAGGCUUUGACGGGUAGCCGGCCUGAGAGGGUGACCGGCCACAGUGGGACUGAGAUACGGCCCAGACUCCUACGGGAGGCAGCAGUGGGGAAUAUUGCACAAUGGGCGGAAGCCUGAUGCAGCAACGCCGCGUGCGGGAUGACGGCCUUCGGGUUGGAAACCGCUUUCGCCUGUGACGAAGCGUGAGUGACGGUAAUGGGUAAAGAAGCACCGGCUAACUACGU